rnacentral:rRNA from 1 species
UACGUAGGGGGCAAGCGUUGUCCGGAAUCAUUGGGCGUAAAGCGCGCGUAGGCGGCCAGAUAAGUCCGGUGUGAAAGUCACAGGCUCAACCUGUGAAUGCCGCUGGAAACUGUCUGGCUUGAGUCCGGAAGGGGCGAGUGGAAUUCCUGGUGUAGCGGUGAAAUGCGCAGAUAUCAGGAGGAACACCAAUGGCGAAGGCAGCGCGCUGGAGCGGUACUGACGCUGAGGCGCGAAAGCGUGGGGAGCGAACAGG